GACGAACGCUGGCGGCGUGCCUAAUACAUGCAAGUUGAGCGCUGAAGGUUGGUACUUGUACCAACUGGAUGAGCAGCGAACGGGUGAGUAACGCGUGGGGAAUCUGCCUUUGAGCGGGGGACAACAUUUGGAAACGAAUGCUAAUACCGCAUAAAAACUUUAAACACAAGUUUUAAGUUUGAAAGAUGCAAUUGCAUCACUCAAAGAUGAUCCCGCGUUGUAUUAGCUAGUUGGUGAGGUAAAGGCUCACCAAGGCGAUGAUACAUGGCCGACCUGAGAGGGUGAUCGGCCACAUUGGGACUGAGACACGGCCCAAACUCCUACGGGAGGCAGCAGUAGGGAAUCUUCGGCAAUGGGCGAAAGUCUGACCGAGCAACGCCGCGUGAGUGAAGAAGGUUUUCGGAUCGUAAAACUCUGUUGGUAGAGAAGAACGUUGGUGAGAGUGGAAAGCUCAUCAAGUGACGGUAACUACCCAGAAAGGGACGGCUAACUACGUG
rnacentral:rRNA from 1 species